GCCUUUGUAGUAUAAAUCAAUACACCGGUCUUGUAAACCAGAAAUGGAGAAAAUUUCUUCCUAGGGCA
rnacentral:tRNA from 3 species